CAUUGACUGUUGACAGAUAGGCUAGCUAUGGGCUUCGCUCCUGUCUGGUUUUGACCUGUUUUGUUUGCAACAGGGCAGGUAUAGUAGAAAUGGUCCGUGUGCUCACACAGCACCCCUCAGCUGUGUGUGUGGGGACGACACGACACAGCGCUCACCAUCCAUACCUGAGUGCAUGGAGGAAGUAAUAAUAUCCUCUGAUGCUAGCUAUUGGUAGCUGCUUUAUUGGGAUUUUCCUGCAGAGCCCGCUGUCAAAGAGGCAGACCAGUAUAGCAAAUUUCAUAGAUGUGUCAUGCAUGACUUCGAGGACCGCUUUGGGGAAACUUUCGGAAGACCUUCGGAGGAUUGAGGAGGCGUCCGACAGAACAAUUAGUGAUAACUGACUUUGCAUCCUCUUCUCGAAGUUGUGCGAGACAUGGCCAGUCCACAUCACAAUGAUCUGUCGUUUGCAUGGGAGAAGUAUAUGGACUGUCGACUACAAGGAGCAGAUCUACAGGUCAGCCUCCAGUGCCUUGAGAACUUCCUCUGCCUCUUCCACUGUGUGCGUAAAGUCCACCUCCAUGUUACCCAGGACCUGCUGACCUUCUGGAGUUCUCUGCUGUCGGUUUUGCAGUGUGCACACUAGAAGUUUGGAUAAGGUCUACUCUUCUCAAUGUAAUUACGGUUGUCCAACAUCACGAGAUAAAAGCCUGAAUCACCUACACUGGUUAUCUCAUGUCUACCCUGUUAAGUCUUUUAAAACUAACAGAAUUCUUCUUCCAAGCUAACUAAAAUAUAUAUUCUACCCUUCUGUCUCUGUCUCUGUCUCUGUCUCUGUCUCUGUCUCUUUCUCUGUCUCUCUUUCUCUGUCUCUUGUCUCUGUCUCUUGUCUCUGUCUCUCUCUCUUCUGUCUCUGCUAUCUCCUCCAUCUUCUGUCUUGAUCCCAUCUCGGUCUCCAUCUCUGUCUCCUCUCUCUGUCUCUCUCUCUCUGUCUCCUCUCUCUCUCUGUCUCCUCUCUCUGUCUCCUCUCUCUGUCUCUCUCUCUCUGUCUCUCUGUCUCUGUCUCCUCUCAUUGUCUCUCUGUCUUUCGGUCUUGCUACUUCCUGUCUGGUUAUCCCCUCUAUCCUCUCUCCUGUCUCCGUCUCUCCUCUCUCCUGUCUCUCUCUCUCACUGUCUCUCUCUGUCUCCUCUCUCUGUCUCUCUGUCUUCCUGUCUCUCUCCUUCCUGUCUGUGUACCCCCUCUCUCCUCUCUCCUGUCUCCGUCUCUACUCUCUCCUGUCUCUGCCCCAUCUCUGUCUCCUCUCUCUGUCUAUGUCACUUAUCUCUCCUAUCUCUCUCUGUCUCCUGUCUCUCUCUCUGUCUCCUGUCUCUCUCCGUCUCUGCCCCAUCUCUGCCCCAUCUCUGUCUCUGUCUCUGUUUCUUAUCUCUCCUGUCUCUCUCUCUGUCUCCUGUCUCUCUCCGGUCUCCGUCCCGUCUGCGUCCCCCUCCCUGUCUCUCUCCUAUCUCUCUGUCUCCUGUCUCUCUCCUAUCUCUCUCUGUCUCCUGUCUCUCUCCGGUCUCCGUCCCGUCUCCGUCCCCCUCCCUGUCCCCUCCCCUGUCUCUCUCUCUC
ensembl:lncRNA